rnacentral:rRNA from 1 species
UACGUAGGUGGCAAGCGUUGUCCGGAUUUAUUGGGUUUAAAGGGUGCGUAGGCGGCUUUGUAAGUCAGUAGUGAAAUACCCCAGCUCAACUGGGGGGGUGCUAUUGAUACUGCAUGGCUUGAGUACAGAUGAGGUAGGCGGAAUUGACGGUGUAGCGGUGAAAUGCAUAGAUAUCGUCAAGAACACCGAUAGCGAAGGCAGCUUACUAAGUUGUAACUGACGCUGAUGCACGAAAGUGUGGGGAUCAAACAGG